rnacentral:rRNA from 1 species
UACGUAGGAUGCAAGCGUUAUCCGGAAUGAUUGGGCGUAAAGCGUCCGCAGGUGGCUGUGUAAGUCUGCUGUCAAAGAGCGAAGCUCAACUUCGUAAAGGCAGUGGAAACUACACGGCUAGAGUGCGUUCGGGGCAGAGGGAAUUCCUGGUGUAGCGGUGAAAUGCGUAGAGAUCAGGAAGAACACCGGUGGCGAAGGCGCUCUGCUAGGCCGCAACUGACACUGAGGGACGAAAGCUAGGGGAGCGAAUGGG